rnacentral:rRNA from 1 species
AAAUUGAAGAGUUUGAUCAUGGCUCAGAUUGAACGCUGGCGGCAGGCCUAACACAUGCAAGUCGAGCGGAAACGGCAGCAUUGAAGCUUCGGUGGAUUUGCUGGACGUCGAGCGGCGGACGGGUGAGUAACGGCUGGGAACCUGCCCUGACGAGGGGGAUAACCGUUGGAAACGACGGCUAAUACCGCAUAAUGUCUUCGGACCAAAGGUGGCCUCUACAUGUAAGCUAUCGCGUUGGGAUGGGCCCAGUUAGGAUUAGCUAGUUGGUAAGGUAAUGGCUUACCAAGGCGACGAUCCUUAGCUGGUUUGAGAGGAUGAUCAGCCACACUGGGACUGAGACACGGCCCAGACUCCUACGGGAGGCAGCAGUGGGGAAUAUUGCACAAUGGGGGAGACCCUGAUGCAGCCAUGCCGCGUGUGUGAAGAAGGCCUUCGGGUUGUAAAGCACUUUCAGCAGUGAGGAAGGUGGUGUACUUAAUAAGUGCAUGGCUUGACGUUAGCUGCAGAAGAAGCACCGGCUAACUCCGUGCCAGCAGCCGCGGUAAUACGGAGGGUGCGAGCGUUAAUCGGAAUUACUGGGCGUAAAGCGCAUGCAGGCGGUUUGUUAAGUCAGAUGUGAAAGCCCGGGGCUCAACCUCGGAACCGCAUUUGAAACUGGCAGGCUAGAGUCUUGUAGAGGGGGGUAGAAUUUCAGGUGUAGCGGUGAAAUGCGUAGAGAUCUGAAGGAAUACCAGUGGCGAAGGCGGCCCCCUGGACAAAGACUGACGCUCAGAUGCGAAAGCGUGGGUAGCAAACAGGAUUAGAUACCCUGGUAGUCCACGCCGUAAACGCUGUCUACUUGGAGGUUGAGGUUUAGACUUUGGCUUUCGGCGCUAACGCAUUAAGUAGACCGCCUGGGGAGUACGGCCGCAAGGUUAAAACUCAAAUGAAUUGACGGGGGCCCGCACAAGCGGUGGAGCAUGUGGUUUAAUUCGAUGCAACGCGAAGAACCUUACCUACUCUUGACAUCCAGCGAAUCCUUUAGAGAUAGAGGCGUGCCUUCGGGAGCGCUGAGACAGGUGCUGCAUGGCUGUCGUCAGCUCGUGUUGUGAAAUGUUGGGUUAAGUCCCGCAACGAGCGCAACCCUUAUCCUUGUUUGCCAGCACAUAAUGGUGGGAACUCCAGGGAGACUGCCGGUGAUAAACCGGAGGAAGGUGGGGACGACGUCAAGUCAUCAUGGCCCUUACGAGUAGGGCUACACACGUGCUACAAUGGCAGAUACAGAGGGCAGCGAAGCUGCGAAGUGGAGCGAAUCCCUUAAAGUCUGUCGUAGUCCGGAUUGGAGUCUGCAACUCGACUCCAUGAAGUCGGAAUCGCUAGUAAUCGUGGAUCAGAAUGCCACGGUGAAUACGUUCCCGGGCCUUGUACACACCGCCCGUCACACCAUGGGAGUGGGCUGCACCAGAAGUAGAUAGCUUAACCUUCGGGAGGGCGUUUACCACGGUGUGGUUCAUGACUGGGGUGAAGUCGUAACAAGGUAGCCCUAGGGGAACCUGGGGCUGGAUCACCUCCUUAC